UUAUUCCUAAUAACAAUUUUGCAAAAUAACCUUACAGACAAUCAAUACCUUAACUGCCCUUUUGUUCCACUUAAUUUUUAAUUAAGCUUUCAGCUAUGAAAACAAAGUAAAUUAGUGGGUCAGUUUACUAUCAGUUUAAUCUCGUCGUUUGUGUUGAAGCAUGACAUAAUUGUGUUUUCAGAGCACACACCCCAUGUCAUGUGCGCGAAAAUUUGCUCAAAUGCGUGCUAAACUACAUUUCCAAAAUAAAAGUGGACUUCCUUGGCAUAAAAAUAGUGUUGUGAGUUGGUUAAAAGUGCACACAUCGUUUUAUAGUCCAAUUUAAUAAUUCCGAAGGCUAAAAAUAAAAUUUCAGACGCACCUCUACGGCGAAUGAUGCGAGGCAAGAAUCAUGUGUUUUGUUUGAAGCAAAGUUGUAUAAUUUAAUUAUUAUGUCUGGAAAAUCUGGGACGAUUCCAAUCAUUCCAAAGUGUUGUGACUGUGAUAGUUACACUUCCACCCAGAAAACAAUCUUUUUAGGGAUUUGUCGGGGGGCUGUGUCCGUGAUUUCACUGGUCUUGUGUGUAGCAUUUCUAGUAAAUUUUGACAGUUUCAUCGUUUCUGAACACUUAAUCGAUCAGCAGAGAGCCAAAACAGUGCACAGUAUACUAGUUGUGAUAAGUGUAGUCAACAUCAUCCACUUCUUCGUUUCGAUUUUCAUCAUUCUCAUCGCUCGAUCAAAUAUUGGGCAUUCACGUAGUAUUAAAUUCUGGAUAAUUGUGGAUUUGGCCAUUGCCACAAUUUUUAUUUUGUGUGUUUUAAUACUUUUAUUCACGAUGCCCUCACGCAAGUUAUUUUUGAUUCUAGGAGCCAAGCUGGUAAUUAUUUCGUUGUUUCUCUCAUACAGGUCCAGUGUUGCCUAUGUUGUGUAUAAGUCGGACGAAGCUGGACACUUUUAAAUAAUAAAGAAUCCUGUGAUUUGUGUUAAUCCGUUCUACUGUAAUUAAGUAAGAUAACUGUCUAAUUAAUAUUUAAUAAGUAAUCGUAUUUAGGGAGACACACAUUGAGAGAAUGUUAAUAUUUAAUUACUUUUGUACCCAAUUGCCACGAAUUGUGUAUUUCAAUAAAAUAUAAAUACUUUG